AUUGAACGCUGGCGGCAGGCCUAACACAUGCAAGUCGAGCGAGCGGCGGACGGGUGAGUAAUGUAUGGGGAUCUGCCCGAUAGAGGGGGAUAACUACUGGAAACGGUGGCUAAUACCGCAUACCAUCGGAUGUGCCCAGAUGGGAUUAGCUAGUAGGUGGGGUAACGGCUCACCUAGGCGACGAUCCAUAGCUGGUCUGAGCGGAUGACCAGCAACACUGGAACUUAGACACGGUCCAGCCUCUUACGGGAGGCAGCAGUGGGGAAUAUUGCACAAUGGGGGCAAGCCUGAUGCAGCCAAGCCGCGUGUAUGAAGAAGGCCUUCGGGUUGUAAAGUAAUUUCAGCGAGGAGUCGUUACUCGCAGAAGAAGCACCGGCUAACUCCGUGCCAGCAGCCGCGGUAAUUC
rnacentral:rRNA from 1 species